UGCAAGAUGGAUUAAAUUUAGAUCGUCGGGCUCAUGCCCCGAAGGUGCGGCUUAAUUGCAGCUUUUGCAA
rnacentral:tRNA from 1 species